AUUUUCUUAGGUGUUACACAUUUACAAUCGACACUUACAAUUAUCAGGCAAUUCGAUAAGAACCCAAACAACAUUGUGGUCUAUAAAUUUUAACUCUUCUUUCAUAACUUCUAUCUAUUUAUUAGAAUUAUCACUUUUGAUAUAUUGUGAAAACGUAAUUGGAUCUGUUCCUAUCCCAUUAUCAAAAUCAAAUUCUUGUAGAUAUAGCACAUAAUUAUUUGAUUUAGCAGAUUUUCUUUUCCUUUAAAAUCUUUUUAAAGGCAUUGACUGG
rnacentral:lncRNA from 1 species